rnacentral:rRNA from 1 species
AUAGAUGUAUACUCCAACCCAUGUGAACAUACCUCAUGUUGCCUCGGCAGGUCGAGCCUCCCUCGUAGGUCCUACCCAGUAGGCUCCUACCCGGAAAGCGCGGGUACCCCUGCCGGUGGCCCAGGAAACUCUGUCUCAUCGUUGAAUUCUGAACCUAUAACUAAAUAAGUUAAAACUUUCAACAACGGAUCUCUUGGUUCUGGCAUCGAUGAAGAACGCAGCGAAAUGCGAUAAGUAAUGUGAAUUGCAGAAUUCAGUGAAUCAUCGAAUCUUUGAACGCACAUUGCGCCCAUUAGUAUUCUAGUGGGCAUGCCUGUUCGAGCGUCAUUUCAACCCUUAAGCCCUUGUUGCUUAGCGUUGGGAGCCUACGGCACCGUAGCUCCCCAAAGUCAGUGGCGGAGCCGGCUCACACUCUAGACGUAGUAAUUUCUCACCUCGCCUAUAGUUGGACCGGUCCCCUGCCGUAAAACGCCCCAGUAUUUAAAAGGUUGACCUCGAAUCAGGUAGGAAUACCCGCUGAACUUAAGCAUAUCAAAACGGGGGGAGGAAAUAUUAUUAAUAGAAGGGAAAAAACUCCAAACCCAUGUGAACAUACCUCAUGUUGCCUCGGCAGGUCGUGCCUCCCUCGUAGGUUCUACCGGUAGGCUCCUACCCGAAAGGGGGGGGGUCCCUGUGGGGGGGGCCCGGAGACUCUCUCUCUCGUCUAAAUCCUCAGCAUCUAAAAAAAUAAGAUUAAAACUUUCACACGGAUCUUUUGGGUUCUUGCAUCAUGAAGACGCACGCAUGCGAUAGUAAUGUGAUUGCAGAAUCAUGAAUCAUCAUCUUUGACGCCAUUGGCAUUAGUAUUUCUAGUGGGCAUGCUGCUCAGGAUCUUACACUAUUCUCUUGUUUUGUAUCAGUUGGACGUACGUAGUACUCAUCCAGUGUGGAGAGGCACUCUACACCGAAAUAGCGCCACGACUGGAGGAGAGCGUGUCUGUCGACCCCUUUUUAUUGAUGUCUCUGGGGAAUCCACCAAAUACUAUCUGGGAAUGAGGU